UAUAGAGGAACUACUGAAACUGUACUGAUCUGUGAAGAGGCUUUACCAGUGCAAUUAAUGUAUUUAUCACAUCCAAAUUCCCUGUGCAUUAGUUUUACUGGCAUUGUGCAGAUGACAGAUUUAUUUAUUUAUUUAUUUAUUUAUUUAUUUAUUGUGCACUGGAGCAUAUUUCAGCUCAAAUAACAGUGUAUGCAGGUGGCUGGAGUAGAACAGUAUUUCCACUUAAGACGAACCAGAACCAAACAAAUGCGUGGCUUCAUGAAAUACCUGUGCAAUUCCUACAACAUCCCUGUGCUACCUGGACCAGAACGUCAUCCUGUCUGUCAUUAGGAGUGUACUGGCUGACUUAGGUUGAAAUAGCAAUGCUGGCAAGUUACACUUCCAGACAAACCUAGCUUCAUCAUUUAGAACAACUGAGUUACCUUACUGUCUCAACUACACAACAUACUGCUUUAUGAAACUCUUCUAACUCAACAAUGAACAUUCAUGGUCGUUAAGAAAAGCCCAUACUUAAACUUCUACCCAGCUCCAAGCAAACUCUGCUAAAAGUUUCCAGAGAUUUCUAGUCAUUCAUAAGACACAGUAAUGCCUCAGCCUCUUUGAAUGGUAUGGUUUGACCUUAUUUACUAAUUUUGUGAAAAAAGACAAUAGUAGAUGCAAUCACUGAAGGCUAAUUAUACACUGUAUAAAUGUAGAAUUACUAUCAGUUUUGCAUUCUUCUAUGGUUUAAUUUAUUCUUCAUUUCUGUGGAUAUGAGCAGAAGAGUUAAACAGUUUCUUUGUAUUUACCUGAGCAUCCCAUAUUUGUAUGAGUACUCCUUAUGUUAUUUGCUACACCAACAACCUCAAUACACCAAAGUUGUAAAAAUUAUUGUAUGUAAACAUAUAUAAUAAAGAAAAGGUGCAGCAGAAUGCAUUUGUAUUUUUUUCCUUUUUGGAUUUUUAAAUUUUUGUUGGAUGUUCAUAAAGGAAGAGGAGCCUGUGGAAUAUAGUUAUCCCUUUGCAUGUAUUUUUAAAUAUUUACUUACCAGAAUAAAUAUCUAUUUUCUUCAGGAAGAAUGUUCUGUAGAUUUAUAUGCCAGUCUGAACAGGAGAGUCUUGAAGUCUUUCCAGAGAUUACAUAGGAAAUGUCAUGGAAAACCUCUGAAUUUGCAUCCAUAUCUCACUUAAAAAACUUCACUCUUCUUUACAUCUCUGUAAUAUAAAUAUUAAAUGUGAAAAGAUCAUAUUUAUUUACCUUCAUGAAGUCCUCUGAGUUCCAGACUGGAGGUAAAAAAGAAGAGAACCCAUCAGUAUUUCUAAAUAUAUUAUUAAGUCCCUGCUCUUGAUCAAAAAACUUUAAGCUUAAACUUCAAUUUUACUUUGAGUACAGCUUUUCCUGAAUCAAUUCAUAGGAUUUUUGAGGCUUUUGAGUCACUGAAAUCUCAUUUGUUUAAAUGAAAUAAAGAAACACAUAUCAUUUUUAAAAACAUUAUUCUGGAUUCACUAAUCCAUUCAUGUACUUUUGACUUUUGCCAUCAAGACCAAACUGGGGAUUUUCAAAAAGGCUGCUCAGUGAGACAUAGUAUUAGCAGUGCACAAAUCCACAAUCAAAGCAAAUACAUUCAGCUAUUCAAAUCUUGAAAGCACUGAGUUGCAUAUAUAUAUACAACAUUACUGAGAUUCAGAGCUGAAACCACACACAGAAGAACUGGCAUAACUUCUUUCUACAGUAGACAAUGGUAGAAGUUGUUGUCAGGCUGAAGGGAAGCAUAGAUUUAAAUCCAUGUGAAAAAAAAGUAAAAAAGAAAAAAAAAGAAAAAAAGAAAAAAGAAAAAAAGAAAAAAACUAUGCCAUUCUCAGUGUCCUCUUUACAAAAGUAAUUUGAAUAUUUAUUGGGUCAAAAUCAAAUAGAUUUUCUUUGUUGUCUACUAAUUACAGCAACAGCAUGGGAAGCCUGAAAUAGUGAAUAGAGUGAUUCCACACUGUUUAUUUUAUAAUUACAUCCAACAAUCAUGAAACAACUACACCCCAGUGGAACUGCUGGUUAACACUGUUUCUUUUACUAGCUUCAGAGUAGGAAAAUCAAUGAUAUCUAUGCACAGUUUAUGAACAGAUAUAUGUAGGUGACUUUGAAAGUAAUGUCUCCUGUUUAUUUCCAUGGAAGCUACAUCAGAUGCAAAGACCACAAUAACACUACUUGAUAGAGAAAAUUCUCAGCUACUAAAUACUGUUUUUCAACAGUCACCACCAUUAACCAAUUUAUGGGGAUAAACUGAUUGAGAUGCUCAUUUCGUGUUGUGAAAGCUGUGUAUAACAUUCCAGAAUGUGUCUUGUCUUUCACGUUGCUGUCCCACUGCUGAAAUACAUCACCCACUGCCUCAUUGUGCU
ensembl:lncRNA